UACGUAGGGUGCAAGCGUUAAUCGGAAUUACUGGGCGUAAAGCGUGCGCAGGCGGUUUCUGUAAGCCAGAUGUGAAAUCCCCGGGCUCAACCUGGGAAUGGCAUUUGGGACUGCAAGGCUGGAGUGCGGCAGAGGAGACUGGAAUUCCCGGUGUAGCAGUGAAAUGCGUAGAUAUCGGGAGGAAUACCGAUGGCGAAGGCAGGUCUCUGGGCUGACACUGACGCUCAUGCACGAAAGCGUGGGGAGCAAACAGG
rnacentral:rRNA from 1 species